rnacentral:rRNA from 1 species
GCACAACGCGAAGAACCUUACCUGGUCUUGACAUAGUAAGAACUUUCCAAAGAUGGAUUGGUGCCUUCGGGAACUUACAUACAGGUGCUGCAUGGCUGUCGUCAGCUCGUGUCGUGAGAUGUUGGGUUAAGUCCCGCAACGAGCGCAACCCUUUUCCUUAUUUGCCAGCGGGUUAAGCCGGGAACUUUAAGGAUACUGCCAGUGACAAACUGGAGGAAGGCGGGGACGACGUCAAGUCAUCAUGGCCCUUACGACCAGGGCUACACACGUGCUACAAUGGUCGGUACAAAGGGUUGCUACCUAGCGAUAGGAUGCUAAUCUCAAAAAGCCGAUCGUAGUCCGGAUUGGAGUCUGCAACUCGACUCAUGAAGUCGAAUCGCUAGUAAUCGCGGAUCAAGAAUGCCGCGGUAGAAUACCGGUUCCCGGGUCUUGUACACACCG